UCGUCAGGGCCCUGAAGGGGCGGUGCCAAAACCCUGCCCUCGGGCCCGCCGAGACGUCCGAGGGCGGAGGCAUGACCCGGCCUGCCCGCUCUGGGGUUGUUUGCAGGCGACGCCGGGGCAACGGUCCGAGCCCGCCGGGACGCUAGCCUUCCUGACCUAUAGUCCCGGAGGACCUGCCCGCCCAGAGCCGCGGAGUUCGCGGCGGCGCCGAGUGCCCUCCACCCGGGCCUCUGGGCUUUGAGGUGCUGUCCAGUCAGUUCCAACUCAUAGUGACCCUGUGUACAACAGAACGAAACACUGCUCGAUCCUGUGCCAUCCUGAUGAUCAUUGUUAUGCUUGAGCCCAUUUUUCUAGCCACUGUGUCAGCCCAUCUCAUUGAAGGUCUUCCUUUUUUUUUUGAUGACCCUCCACUUUACCAAGCAUGAUGUCCUUCUCCAGGAGCUGGUCCCUUCUGAUAACAUGUCCAAAGUAUGUGAGACAUACUCUCACCAUCCUUGCAUCUAAGGAGCAUUCUGGUUUACUUCUUCUAAGACAGAUUUUCUCGGUCUUUUGGCAGUCCAUGGCAUAUUCCAUAUUCUUUGCCAGCACCACAACUCAGAGUCAUUAGUUCCACUUCUGUCUUCCUUAUUCAUUGUCCAGCUUUCACAUGUAUAUGAGGUGAUUGAAAAUAACAUGGCUUGAGUCAAAUGCACCUUAGUUCUCAAAGUGACAUCUACGAUUUUCAACACUUUAAAGAGGUCUUUUGCACCAGAUUUGCCCAAUGCAAUGUGUCAUUUGAUUUUUUGACUCCUGCUUCCAUGGGUGUUGAUUGUGGAUCCAAGUAAAAUGAAAUCCUUGACAACUUCAGUCUUUUUUCCAUUUGAGAUGAUGUUGCUUAUUGGCCCAGUGAUGAAGAUUUUUGUUCUCUCUAUAUUGAGGUGUAAUCCAUAUUGCAGGUUGCAGUCUUUGAUCCUCAUCAGUAAGUGCUUCAAGUCCUCUUCACUUUCAGCAAGCAGGGUUAUGUCAUUUGCAUAUCGUAGGUUAUUAAUGAGUCUUCCUCCAAUCCUGAUGCCACUUUCUGCUUUAUAUAGUCCAGCUUUUGGAUUAUUUACUCAACAUACAGAUGGAAUAAGUAUGGUGAAAGGAUACAACCCUGUCACACACCUUUUCUGACUUUAAACCAUGCAGUAUCCCCUUCUUCUGUUCUAACGAAUACCUCUUGAUCCAUUUACAGGUUCCUCAUGAGCACAGUUAAGUGUUCUGGAGUUCCCAUUCUUCCCAAUGUUAUCCAUAAUUUGUUAUGAUCCACCCAGUCGAAUGCCUUUCUAUAGUCAGUAAAAAGGCAGGUAAACGUCUUUCUGGUAUUCUCUACUUUCAGCCAGAAUCCAUCUGAGAUCAGCAAUGAUAUCCCUCCUUCCACGUCCUCAUCUGAAUCUGACUUGAAUUUCUGGCAGUUCCCUGUCAAUGUACUGCUGCAACUGCUUUUGAAUGAUCUUCAGCAAAAUUUUACUUGUGUAUGAUAUUAAUGGUAUUGUCCAAUAAUUUUCGCAUUUGGCUCCAUCUCCUUCCUUUGGAAUAGGCAUAAAUAUGAAUCUCUUCCAGCCCGUUGGCCAGUGUCAUGGACUGAAUUGUGUCCCCAAAAAUAUGUGUAUCAAUUUGGGUAUGCCAUGAUUCCCAAUAUUAUGUAAUUGUCCACCAUUUUGUCAUCGGACGUGAUUUCCCUAUGUGUUGUAAAUCCUAUCACUGUUACGUUAAUGAGAUGGAUUAUCAGCAGUUAUGUUGGUGAGAUCUACAACACUAGAUUUGUAUUAAGCCAAUCUCUUUUGAGAUAUAAAAGAAGCGAGCAGAGAGACAUGGGGACCUCAUACCACCAAGAAAGCAGUAUCAGGAGCAGAGCAUGCCCUUUGGACCUGGAGUUCCUGUGCAGAGAGGCUCCUAGUGCAGGGGAAUAUUGAUGACAAGGACCUUCCUCCAGAGCUGACAGAAAAAGCCUUCCCCAAAAUCAGAUAAAAGAAUUCAAAAAAAUGAAGAAACUCUAAGAAUUCUGUGGGACUCUAUCAAGAGGAAUAACCUGUGAGUGAUUGGAGUGCCAGAACAGGAGGGAUAACAGAAAAUACAGAAAGAAUUGUUGAAGAUAUUUUGGCAAAAACUUCCCUGCUAUCAUGGGAGAUGAGAAGAUACUUAUCCAAGAUGCUCAUCAAAUGCCACACAAGGUAGAUCCCCCCAAAAAGUCACCAAGACAUAUUAUAAUCAAACUUGCCAAAACCAAAGAUAAAGAGAGAAUUUUAAGAGCAGCUAGAAAUAAACAAAAAGUCAUCUACAAAGAACCGUCGAUAAAACUAAGCUCGGACUACUCAGCAGAAACCAUGCAGGCGAGAAGGCAAUGGGAUGACAUAUAUAAAGCCUUGGAAAAAAUUGCUAGGCAAGAAUUAUAUAUCCAGCAAAACUGUCUCUCAAAUUUGAUAGUGAAAUUAGGGCAUUUCCAGAUAAACAGAAGUUUAGGGAAUUAGCAAAAACCAAACCAAAAUUAUAAUAAAUACUAAAAGGAGUUGUCUGGUUAGAAAAUCAAUAACACUAAAUAACAACCCAAGGCUAGAACACAGGACAGAGCAACCAGAUAUCAACCCAGAUGAGGAAGUCACAAAAAUAAAUCAAGCUACAACACUGAAAAUAGAGGAACAGAGAUGUCAGUAUGUAAAAGAUGACAGCAUUAAAACAAAAAAGAGAGACUAAAAAAUGUGGUCAUAGAUCUUUCAUAUGGAGAGGAAGUCAAGGUGAUAUAAAGAAAUAAAAGAUUGGUUUAAACUUGGAAAAAUCGGAGUAAAUAUUAAGGUGACCACAAAGGAAACUACAAAUCCUACACAUCAAAAUAAAAAACAAGAAAACAUAAAGACUGAGCAAAUAUGAAACCAACAACAAUGAAAAAGAUGAAAAGAAAAUACAUAAAGAGAAACAACUCAGCACAGAAAAUUAAGUGAAACAAACUCAAUAACACACAAAAAAAGACAUCAAAAUGACACCACUAAACUCAUAAAAAAAAAAAAAACUAUCAAUAAUUACGCUGAAUAUAACUGGACUGAAUGCACCAAUAAAGAAAGUGGCAGAAUGGAUUUAAAAAAAAAAAAGAUUUCAUCUAUUUGCUGGCUACAAGAGACACACUUUAGAUUUAAAGACACAAACUAAAACUCAAAGUAUGGAAAAAAAUAUAUCCAGCAAUCAAUCAAAAAAGAGCAGGAGUGGAAAGAUUAAUUUCUGACAAAAUAGACUUUAAGGUAAAAUCUACCACAAAGAAUAAGGAAGGAUACUAUAUAAUGAUUAAAGGGUAAAUACAACAGGAGGACAUAACCAUAAUAAAUACUUACGCACCCAAAACAGGGCUCCAAAAUACAUAAAAUCUUAACAGCAUUGAAAAGAAAGAUACACAGCUCCACAAUAAUAGUAGGAGACUUCAACACACCACUUUCGGUGAAGGACAGAACAUCCAGAAAGAAGCUCGUUAAAGUCACAGAAAUACUGACUGACACAAUCAACCAACUUGACCUUGUAGAUAUAUACAGAAGACUCCACCCAAAAGCAGCCAAGUAUACUUUCUUUUCCAAUGCACAUGGAGCAUUCUCCAGAAUAGACCACGUAUUAGGCCAUAAAGCAAGCCUUAACAGAAUCCAAAGCAUCGAAGCAUCUUUUCUGACCAUAAAGCCAUAGUAGUAAAACUCAGUAACAGAAGAAGGGAAAAAAAAAAAUCAAACACAUGGAAACUGAACAACACCUUCCCCCAAAACUACCGGAUUAUAGAAGAAAUUAAGGAUGGAAUAAUGAAAUUCACAGAAUCAGAUGAUAAUGAAAACACAUCCUACCAGAACCUUUGGGACACAGCAAAAGCAGUGCUUACAGGUCAAUUUAUAGCAAUAAAUGCACACAUCCAAAAAGAAGAAAGGACCAAAAUCAAAACAUUAACCUUACAACUUGAGCAAAUAGAAGCAGCAAAAGAAUCCUUUGGGCACUGGAAGAAAGCAAAUAAUAGAAAUUGGAGCAGAAUUAAAUGAAAUACAGAAUAGAAAAACAAUUGAAAGAGUUAAGACCAAAAGCUGGUUCUUUGAAAAAUCACCAAAAUCAAUAUACCAUUGGCCAGACUGACAAAAAAACAGGAGAGGAAGCAAAUAACCCAAGCAAGAAAUGAGAUGGGCGAUAUCACAACAGACCCAACUAAAUUUAAAAGCAUCAUAACAGGAUGCUAUGAAAAAUUGUACUCUAACAAAUUUGAAAACCUAGAGAAAAAGGACAAAUUUUUAGAAGCACACUACCUACCUGAACUAACAUAAACAGAGGUAGAACAACUAAAUAAAUCUAUAACAAAAGCAGAGAUUGAAAAGGUAAUUAAGAAAUUCCCAACAAAAAAAAGCCCUGGCCCCUGUGGCUUCUCAUUCAGAGAAGAGUUGACGCCACUACUACUAAAGGUAUUUCAGAGCAUAAAAAAGGAAGGAAUACUCCCAAACUCAUUCUAUGAAGCCAGCAUAACCAUGAUGCCAAAAUCAGGUAAAGACACCACAAAAAAAGAAAAUUAUAGACCAACAUCCCUCAUGAAUAUAGACACAAAAAUCUUCAGCAAAAUUCUAGCCAAUAGAAUUCAACAACAUAUCAAAAAAAUAAUUCACCAUGACCAAGUGGAAUUCAUACCAGGGAUGCAGGAAUGGUUCAACAUUAGGAAAACAAUCAAUGUAAUCCACAUAAAUAAAACCAAAGACAAAAACCACAUGAUCUUAUCAUUGAUGCAGAAAAGGCAUUUGACAAAGUCCAACACCCAUUCAUGAUAAAAACUCUCAGCAAAAUAGGAAUAGAAGGGAAAUUCCUCAACAGAAUAAAGGGCGUUUAUACAAAGCCAACAGCUAGCAUCAUCCUAAAUGGAGAGAGUCUGAAAGCAUUCCCCUUGAGAACGGGAACCAGACAAGAAUGCUCUGUAUUACCACUCUUAUUCACCAUUGUUCUGAAGGUCCUAACCAGAGCAAUUAGGCUAGAAAAAGAAAUAAAGGAAAUCCAGACUGGUAAAGGAGAAGUAAAAAUAUCUCUAUUUGCAGAUAAUAUGAUCUUAUAUACAGAAAAUCCUAAAGAAUCCACAAGAAAACUACUGGAACUAAUAGAAGAGUUCAACAGAGUAUCAGGAUACAAGGUAAACAUACGAAAAUCAGUUGAAUUCCUCUGCACCAACAAAGAGAACAUCGAAGAAGAAAUCACCAAAUCAAUACCAUUUACAAUAGCCCCCAAGAAGACAAAAUACAAUAACCCCCAAGAAGACAAAAUACAAUAACCCCCGAGAAAACAAAAUACAAUAACCCCCAAGAAGACAAAAUACUUAGGAAUAAAUCUAACCAGAGACGUAAAAGACCUAUACAAAGAAAACUACAAGACACUACUGCAAGAAACCAAAAGAGACUUACAUAAGUGGAAAAACAUACCUUGUUCAUGGAUAGGAAGACUCAACAUUGUAAAAAUGUCUGUUCUUCCCAAAACGAUCUGUAGAUAACAAUGCAAUCCCAAUCCAAAUUCCAGUGGCAUUUUUUAAUGAGAUGGAGAAACAAAUCACCAAUUUCAUAUGGAAAGGGAAGAUAAGUAAAGCAUUACUGAAGAAAACAAAGUGGGAGGCAUGGUACUGGUAGAACAACACAUACACAGACCAGUGGAACGGAAUUGAGAACCCAGGUGUAAAUUCAUCCACCUAUGAUGAGCAGCUGAUAUUUGACAAAAGCCUGAAGUCUAUUAAUUGGGGAAAAGACAGUCUGUUUAUCUGGCAUAACUGGAUAUCCAUCUGCAGAAAAAUGAAACAUGACCCAUACCUCCCGCCAUGCACAAAAACUAAAAAUGGAUCAAAGACCUAAAUAGAAAAUCUAACGAUCAUGGAAGAAAAAAUAGAAACAACUCUAGGAGCCCUAAUACAUGGUGUAAGCAAAAUACAAAACAUUACUAACAAUGCACAAACACCAGAAAAGAAACUAGGUAACUAGGAGUGCCUAAAAAUCAAACACUUAUGCUCAUGGAAAGACUUCACCAAAAGAGUAAAAACAACCUAUGGGUUGGGAAGAAAAUUUUGGCUAUGACAAACUCAAUCAGGGUCUAAUCUUUAAAAUUUACAAGAUACUGCAAAACCUCAAUAACAAAAAGACAAAUAACCCAAUUAAAAAAUGGAGAAAGGAUAUGAACAGGCAGUUCACCAAGGAAGACAUUCAGGUAGCUAAUGAUACAUGAGGAAAUGCUCAUUUGUGAUCAUUAGCCAUUAGAGAAAUGUAAAUCAAAACUACAGUGAGAUACCAUCUCACCCCAGCAAGGCUAGCAUUAAUCCAAAAAACAUAAUAAAUGUUGGAGAAGUUGUGGAGAAACUGGAACACUUAUACACUGCUGGUGGGAAUGUUAAAUGGUACAACCGCUUUGGAAAUUGACUUGGCUCUUCCUUAAAAAGCUAGAAAUAGAGCUACCAUGCGAUCCAGCAAUCCCACUCCUUGGAAUAUAUCCUAGAGAAAUAAGAGCCCUCACACGAAUAGGUAUAUGCACAUCCAUGUUCACUGCAGCACUGUUCACAGUAGCAAAAAGAUGGAAACAACCUAGGUGCUUAUGAAUGGAUGAAUGGAUAAAGGAAUUAUGAUGUAUUCACACGAUGGAACACUACGCAACAAUAAAGAACAAUGAGGAAUCUGUGAAACAUAUAACAUGGAUGAAUCUGGAAGGCAUUAUGCUGAGUGUAAUUAGUCAGUUGCAAAAGGACAAAUAUUGUAUGAGACCACUAUUACAAGAACUCAAGAGAAGGUUUAAACACAGAAGAAAAUAUUCUUUGAUGGUUAAGAGGGUGGGGAGGGAGGAAGAGGGGUAGCUACUGACUAGAGAGUAGACAAGAAUUAUCUUAGGUGAAGGGAAGGACAAUAUAAUACAGGGAAAGUCAGCACAACUGGACUAAACCAAAAGCUAAGAAGCUUCCUGAAUACAACCAAACACUUAAAGGGACAGAGUAGCAGGGGCAGGGGUCUGGGGACCAUGGUUUCAGGGUACACCUAGGUCAAUUGGCAUAAUAAAGUUUAUCAAGAAAAUGUUCUGCAUCCCACUUUGGUGAGUGGCACCUGGGGUCUUAAAAGCUUGCAAGCAGCCAUCUAAAAUGGAUCAAUUGGUCCCAACCCACCUGGAGCAGAGGAGAAUGAAGGACACAAAAGACACAAGGAAAAUAUGAGCCAAAGAGAUAGCCACACAAACCAGAGACUCCAUCAGCUUGAGACCAGAAGAACUAGAUUGGCCUGGCUACCACCAAUGACCACCCUGUCAGGGAAUACAACCGAGAGUCCCUGAAGGAGCAGGAGAAAAGAAGGGUACAGAAUUCAAAUUCUAGUAAAAAGACCUCACUUAAUGGUCUGACAGAGACUGGAAGGACCCCAGAAGAUAGGGCCACUGGACUCUAUUAGCCCCAAACCAAAAGUAUUCCCGAAGCCAACCUUUCAGACAAAGAUUAGACUGGACAGUAAGACCUAAGGAAACCCGGGAGGCAUAGUGAUUAAGAGCUACAGCUGCUAACCAAAAGGUCUGCAGUUUGAAUCCACCAGGCACUCCUUGGAAACCGAGUGGGCCAGUUCUGCUCUGUCCUGUAGGGUCACUAUGAGUCAGAAUCGACAGUAAUGGCCUUAGUUUUUGGUUUUAUAAGACAUAAAAUGACACCUGUGACGAGUGUGUUUCUUAGCUCAAGUGGAUACGUGAGACUGAAUGGGCAGCUCCUCCUGUCUAGAGGUGAGAUGAGGGGGCAGAAGCUUGUUGAAUGGACAUGGGGAAUACAGGGUGAAAAGGAGGAAUGCUGUCACAUUAUAGGGAGAGCAACUGGGGUCACAUAACAAUGUGUAUAAAUUUUUGUAUGAGAAACUAGAACAAUAAACUUUCACUUAAAGCACAAUUAAAAAAAAAAAAAAGCCUUCUCCUGGAGCUGACGCUCUGAAUUUGGACUUCUAGCCUACUAGACUGUGAGAGAAUAAAAUUCUGUUUGGUAAAGCCAUUCACUUGUGGUAUUUCUGUUACAGCAGCACCAGUUAGCUGUCUUCUAAAUUUCUUGGCAUAGACAAGUGAGCACUUCCAGCACUGCAUCCGUGUUGAAACAUCUCAGUUGGUAGUCUCUCAAUUCUUGGUCCCUUGUUUUUGCCAGUGCUGAAGUACAUCUUGGACUUCUUCCUUCAGUACCAUCGGUUCUUGAUCAUAUGCUGCUUCCUAAAAUGAUUGAAUGUCGACCAGUUCUUUUUGGUACAGUGACUCUAUAUUCUUUGCAUCUUCUUUUGAUGCUUCCUGCGUCAUUCGGUACUGUGUCCAUAGAAUAUUCAAUUUUGCAUCUUGAGGCUUUAAGUUUUUCUUCAGUUCUUUCAGCUUGAGAAAUGAUGAGCAAGUUCUUCCUUUUUCGUUUUCUAACUCCAGGUGUUUGCACAUUUCGUAAUUCUUUGUCUUCUUGAGCUGCCCUUUGAAAUCUUCUGUUCAGCUCUUUUACUUCAUCAUUUCUUCUGUUCACUCUAGUGACUUGACAUUCAACAGCAAGUUUCAGAGUCUCUUCUGACAUCCAUUUUGGUCUUUUCUUUCUUUCCUGUCUUUGUAAUGACCUCUUGUUUCUUCAUGUACGAUAUCCUUGGUGUCAUUCCACAACUCAUCUGGUCUUCAGUCAUUUGUGUUCGAUGCAUCAUAUCUGUUCAUGAGAUGUUAUCUAAAUUCAGGUGGGAUAUACUCAAGGUCAUACUUUGGCUCUCAUGGACUUGUUCUAAUUUUUUUAGAACUUGCAUAUGGGCAAUUGUUCAUCUGUUGCGCAUUCAGCCCCUGGCCUUGUUCUGACUGAUGAUAUUGAGCUUUCCCCCCACAAGUCUGUCAUUACUGUGGGGGCUUGUGUGUUGCUGCGAUGCUGGAAAGCUGUGCCACUGGUAUUCAAAUACCAGCAGGGUCACCCACGGUGGACAGAUUUCAGCUGAGCUUCUGGACUAAGACAAACUAGGAAGAAAGACCUGACAAUCUACUUCUGAAAAAAAAUCAGUGAAAAUCUUAUGGAUAGCAGCAGAACACAGUGCCAGAAGAUGAGCCCCUCAGGUUGGAAGGCACUCAAAAGAUCACUGGGGAAGAGCUGCCUCCUCAAAGUAGAGUUGACCUUAAUGAUGUAGAUGGAGUCAAGCUUUCAGGACCUUUGUUUGCUGAUGCAAGAAACAGCUGCCAACAUCCAUUAAUAAUCAGAACAUGGAAUGUAUGAACUAUGAAUCUAGGAAAAUUGGAAAUUGUGGAAAAUAUGAUAGAAUGGAUAAACAUUAAUAUCCUAGGCAUUAGGGAGCUGAAAUGGACUGGUAUUGGCCGUUUUGAACUAGGCAAUCAUAUGGCCUACUAUGCUGGGAAGGACAAAUUGAAAAGUAAUGGUGUUGCAUUCAUCAUCAAAAAGAACAUUUCAAGAUCUAUUCUGAAGUACAAGGAUGUCAGUGAUAGGAUACUAUCCAUGCGCCUGCAAGGAAGACCAUUUAAUAUAACUGUUAUUCAAAUUAUUUUGUUGUAAUUGAUACUAAUUUCUUUCCAUUAAUUAAAAAUAUAGUGGAAAGAUAGUUUUUCAAAAUACAGUGUAUUACUCUACAAAUGAAGGCUUGGAGGCAAAUGAUUUAAACUGGUGUGUGUACUCUGUAACAUAGAACUAUGUAUACUACCAACUUCUUUGGGGAGCACAAAACAAGAUUAAGAUCUGAGGAAGUUCCUAACAUAUGUAAAGUAAUAGCCAUGCAAUAAAAAAUUAGCUACCUCGUAAGUUUUUAUAGAUACGUAAGGCUCAGCAUAACAGGAUUAUUUUAGAUUUAACCAGUAUACAGAAGAAAGGCAGGAUCAUUUAGAACAGUGGUUCUUUUAACUGUUCCACACAAAUCUGUCAUACUGUUUGGCCCUGGAAUUCCUUGGGAAAAAAAAAGUGUAAUUACAAUUGACUUUUAGUCAUGUUCAUUCUGCACAUUUCAACACAAGGUAAGAGAUUAGAAAUUAGGAAUUUAGAAAACAAUACAUGACCUACAUUGGCCACCACCUCCUAUAACUUCUUUGACGUACGUUACCAAGUUGGCACCUCCCUACAUAGUAUUACUAAACUCUGUAGUUGUCUUUGCUGUACAACCGAGCUCGCUGUUCCAUGUUGCUUUGUCAACAGACUUUCAUUACAUAAUAUAUAUCUUCUCAACUCUUACAAGUUCGUUAUAGGCAGAAGCAUUAUUGUCCUUCAUAUUUUGUAGUAUCUUACCCAGUAUGCGCCCUGUAUUUAAUGAUUAAUUAUUUUUGCAAAAUUUUUUUAAGCUUUACUCACUUUUUUAUCAAAUUUUUUUCUAUCAGAAACUCUUUAAAGUGUUCACAUUGGAUUUUUCUGUUGAGACUAGAUUUUUGGAAUCUGCUAGCAAACUGCUGACAUCCCAGGAAACACUCUCUUCUGUAAAAUUUCUUUCAUAAGCUCCUACAAGCCAGCCAUUUUAUUGGGCUUGAAAGUGUUGACUAAAAGGAACCAUACACUUUAACCCUCAAGUAUUCAGGAAUGUUGUUAUUAAUUUUUUUUCAACAUGUGUUAACUUUGUCUUCCCCACAAGAUUAUCAAAUACUCAGGGGAGUGAUUGCAGUGUGUGUGUGUGUGUGUGUUUUGUUCUGUUUUAUUUUUGGAUCUUGACACCUUUCCAGAUAACUUUCCUCAUCAAGAAUUUAUCGUUAUUUAACAACAAAAUGACAACCCAAUCAUAAAACGGGCAAAGAACUUGAAUAGCCAUUUCACCGAAGAGGACAUUCAGAUGGCCACCAAACACCUGAAAAGAUUUUCAGCAUCACUAGCCAUCAGAGAGACGUAAAUCAAAACCACAGCGAGAUACCGUAUCACUGCCACUAGGGUGGCUAAGAUUUAAAAAAAAAAAAAAAAAAGGAAAUGUU